UACGGAGGGUGCAAGCGUUAUCCGGAUUCACUGGGUUUAAAGGGUGCGUAGGUGGGUCUGUAAGUCAGUGGUGAAAUCUUCGAGCUUAACUCGGAAACUGCCAUUGAUACUAUAGAUCUUGAAUUUUCUGGAGGUAAGCGGAAUAUGUCAUGUAGCGGUGAAAUGCUUAGAUAUGACAUAGAACACCAAUUGCGAAGGCAGCUUACUACGGGAAUAUUGACACUGAGGCACGAAAGCGUGGGAUCAAACAGG
rnacentral:rRNA from 1 species